AUGGUUAAAGUUAAUUUAUUUCCCCCCAUUCACGUUGUUUGUUCACUCUUGGCGUUGCCUAGCCGCACACCACAACUGAACUGCCCUCUCUCCGCUUUGGCCCUAAGCACUUUCAAACCCAACACGUCGGCUCCAGCGCGCAUUGGCCCGAACGGGCACAGCACCAGACGGGACAUUUUCAGUGCCAAAGCCGGCCCAGUCCCACCCACUCCUGACGGCCGCGGAAGUUUAGGCAGAACUUCAUGCCUGUCGGAUCGGCUACUCCCGGGACAGAGGCUCUCCCGAUCCCCUCACUGGCUUACACCUGAUGUGCUGGGACACUCAUUGCCGCCGAACUUCCCCGCCAGUGGCUCGGUUACAGCCGAACACGGCGUGGGCAGGCUUCGCACGCCCCGGUGGAAGUGACUGCACAAGAUUCCAGGCAAGAAGUCGGGGCUUAUGUAGCUUUUUCUAUAUUUUGAUGUGGCACUGAAGGAUUGUUAGUAUACCUUGAAUUUGGACAGACUGCAAAAGAUUAUUUGGAUUCCACCACCACCACCCCACCUCUUCUUACAAGAUGUAAAUGUUUCUUUCAGGAUUUUCUAUGAUAUGCCAAUAUAGAACCAGAGAUUUGAGAUCCUCUGAAAAGUAAAGCAUUGGGUCCUCUUUUCAUUACUGUAAAACUGAACUACUUUGUCUACCUGAGGAAUAGUUCCAAAUUAAUUCUGGGUGCUAUUUUUUUCUAAAGCAGCAAAGAAGAAAAUGAUAAAACCAGCAUCCAAAGAAAGGUACAGUAUACACAGGGUAUGUCUACACUGCAGUUAAACACCCCUUGCUGGCCUGUCAACUGACUCAGGCUUCUGCUGUGGGGUUAUAAACUUGCAGUGUAGACAGCCUGAAUGCAAGCUCUAGGCCUUUCCUCUCACAACCUCUUCUCCUCACACAAAUCCACACUCCUGUAUUUUUGUCUGGCUCACCUUAAUUGUGGCUUGAUCUUUCAUUUCUUGUACCCAACAUUCACAUUGAUUUUAAUGGGAGUUUUUCAUGUACAAAAUGCUUCGUUCUGAUGUUCACGCUUCCAGUGCACUUUUCUUCUCCAGCUUGAAACAUUAGAAAUAUGAUCCCUUUUUGUGAUGGAUCCAGCAUUUUGUACAUGAAAAACUCCCAUUAAAAUCACUGUGAGUUUUGGGUACAAGAAAUGAAAGAUCAAGCCACAAUUAAGGUGAGUCAGAGAUGACAGAUAAAUGAAGCAUUUAUUUUUAUGGGAAAUUGUCAAAAAGCGGGUUUGAUCACUUGUGCUCACAGAACUGUUUUUUUCCUCAUUUGUUUUCAGUAUGUACAGUAUCAAACAACAUGAAAUGUGGUAUGGCAAAACAAUGCAAGAAUUAUAUACAGUAACUCCUCACUUAAAGUCAUCCCGGUUAAC
rnacentral:lncRNA from 1 species